rnacentral:rRNA from 1 species
UACGUAGGGGGCUAGCGUUGUCCGGAAUCAUUGGGCGUAAAGCGCGUGUAGGCGGUCCGGUAAGUCCGCUGUGAAAGUCGGGGGCUCAACCCUCGGAUGCCGGUGGAUACUGUCGGGCUUGAGUACGGAAGAGGCGAGUGGAAUUCCUGGUGUAGCGGUGAAAUGCGCAGAUAUCAGGAGGAACACCGGUGGCGAAGGCGGUUCUCUGGGCCUUACCUGACGCUGAGGAGCGAAAGCAUGGGGAGCAAACAGG